GACAGGAGGGGCAAGUAUUAUUCUACAUGACUGGGCGUAAAGGAUAUGUAGGCGGUUUUCUUUGAUCAUUCAGGGAAAAGCUAUGAAAAAUUUAUAGGUAACUUUAAUGUGUUAGAAAACUUUGAGUUUAUAAAAGAUAAAAGAAUCUUCUGAGUUUAAAUGUGAAAACUCUAGAGACUGAAGAGAAUUCCUACUAGCGAAAGCAUUUAUCUAGUUAAAACUGACGCUAAAAUAUGAAGGUUUGGGGAGCGAAUAGG
rnacentral:rRNA from 1 species